UACGUAUGGUGCAAGCGUUAUCCGGAUUUACUGGGUGUAAAGGGAGCGCAGGCGGAAGGCUAAGUCUGAUGUGAAAGCCCGGGGCUCAACCCCGGUACUGCAUUGGAAACUGGUCAUCUAGAGUGUCGGAGGGGUAAGUGGAAUUCCUAGUGUAGCGGUGAAAUGCGUAGAUAUUAGGAGGAACACCAGUGGCGAAGGCAGCUUACUGGACGAUAACUGACGCUGAGGCUCGAAAGCGUGGGGAGCAAACAGG
rnacentral:rRNA from 1 species